AGGCGGGCACCACCAAUUCCAAGCCAAUCCAGACUAAAUUCCUGUAUGACUCAAGCAUAUACGCUCAACGAUUAUAGUUGAAGUCUAACGAUACGAAAAUCUAUUGUGAAUAUAACCUAUACAUAUCAUAGUUCACCGGGGAGUAAUAGGGAUUAGGGAACCUGAACUAUGCAUAUGAAUAGCUUAUCAAAAGUGAUGGUGAUGGUGAGUGUAACCUAUACAUAUCAUAGUUCACCGGGGAGUACUAGGGAUUAGGGAACCUGAACUAUGCAUAUGAAUAGCUUAUCAAAAGUGAUGGUGAUGGUGAGUGUAACCUAUACAUAUCAUAGUUCACCGGGGAGUGAUAGGGAUUAGUGAACCUGAACUAUGCAUAUGAAUAGCU
rnacentral:lncRNA from 1 species